AGCUCCAAGUCGAAAGGAAGCGACGCAUGAGUUGUUUGGUGCGGUGGGUAGAUACCUCGAGUUUCUCCUCGCCCACCGUAGGCCCCGACCCCUAAAAAGGAAACUUUUGGGACGUCAGAGUGAGAGGAGAAAAGUGUCUUUUUAGUUUAGUUUUGUCAAACCUGAGGAUUCGUUUUUCAGUUUAGCCGGAGCUGUGCCGCAAACGUAGCUGCCGACAUCCCCACGACGCACCCAAGUGGUGGCCCGGAAGCUGGGGAUAGAAAAGUGGCCUCCCCGAAUGCCAGGCACACAGGCCUUACUACCAGAAGCUUGAGCUGGGAGCCUCGGCCGUCGCAUCUCUAAGGUGCAGCGAUACGGCCAACUUCCUUCCGCGAAGCCCUCAGGGUGGGCAACGGAGCUUUUCACCAGACUGAGGGACCGGGCGACCUGGCCGACCGGCGGCUCCUCACCGCCCCCUUGGGGAUUUCUUGAUAAUUCUUUGCCACGAUGCGGGCGGAUGUUGUGGAGCUACUGUUUGUAGAUCGCAGUAGCGUGACAGCACUUAAUCAUGACUACUAAAUCCUCAGAAGUCGAAAAAGCAAGUCCAUACAGAAUAGUUUGACCCUAAUUAAAUUGCGCUUACAAGAUACAGUUUGUUUACUGGGACUUUGGCUAGGUCCCAUCCCGUCUCUGCCUCAGAGUGGUGGUUGCUCUUAGCACCAAGGAAAUACCAGCUUGACAUUUGACUCUAGGAAGCACAGGCCCAAAAGAAGAGGCCCAAGGAGGGACAUUCUUCUUUCCCUUUCCUACCUACAGUUUCUCAAACCAAGUGUCAGAUGGAAAGCAAGGGGUGGUAUCAUCGUAAUUAUACAGUUGACCAUAGAAAAUAAAUUUCAAUCUCAAAGUAAACUCCUAGGCCACCCCCAGAAUCUUAGAGUUUCUCAAUCAUAGAACUCAUUUCUUGUCACAGUCUUGGUUCUUAGCCAAUGUAAAACACCCAACUGACAGGGAAAAUUAAACACCUUUUAACUCCCACACACCUUAAAUGAGAAUUUAAAGUAUCUUUCAGCAAAUGUAUUUAUAAUUUUGAGUGCUUUUAGCCAUGUUAAGGACAAAUUUUCUCCUUCUGAAUGCAGUAAUAAUUUGGCAUUACCCUUUUGGCAGUGUGGUACAAAGUCUUAUAAUCUAGGCUUUAUGGAGCUAUUGAGGAACAACAUAGAUGGCUUCAUGCAAACCCAAACAAUGUAAUAGUAGUUCUUUUCUCUGUAGUCGGUCUACUGCCUGUAGAUGUUUAUUCCUUUUUUUUUUUUUUUUUUUUUUGAGACAGGGUCUCCCUCUGUCACCCAGGCUGGAGUGCAGUGGUGCAAUCAUAGCUCACUGCAGCCUUGACCUCCUGGGCUCAAGGGAUUCUCCGGCCUCAGCCUCUGGAGUAGCUGGGACCACAGGCACAUGCCAUCGUGCAGGUAAUUAAGUUUUUUGUAGAGAUGGGCAUCUCGCUAUGUUGCCCAGGCUGGUGUUAAAGUCCUGGGCUCAAGUGUUCCCCCCUCCUUGGCUUCUCAAAGUGUUGGGAUUACAGGCGUGAGCCACUGUGCCCAGCUUACUGAUUCAUUUAUACAAACAGAGUGCUCUCAGUGUGCUACAGAAUGACUAUGGAGCUCAAGUUCUAGUGGAGGGUGUGAGCCACAAGGAAACAAGCUAGACAGAUUGUAAUAAGUACUAUAAAGGAAGUAAAUAGGGUGAUGUAAUAGACUUGGGAGAUGCUAACUUUAGUCAGGUAGUAAGGAAGGCCCUUUUGAGGAAAUGGUACUUGUUUGAGAAUUGAAAUGUGAAGGAAUCCAGUGUCAGAGGAACUAAAAAAAAAAAAAGGCAUUGUGCCCCUUUAACUUAGUGACAUUAUCAUUCCUGAUCUACACUCUUCUCCCCAUUUUUCUCGUUUUCUCUGUUACUGCUUCCCGUUUAUUUGAAGAGCCAGGUCUUUUAUAGAAAUCAGAAAAUUAGAACAUUUCUGGUUGUGUUUGGUGUAAUCUUGACGUCAUUAUAGAUAUUUGGUUUUGUUCUUUCUUAAUAGACAAGCUUAUAAUAAAUAGCACUUUUGGUGAGCUCAUUUCUGUUAAACACUUUGCAGCAUAAAUCUUUUCCUGUGUUCAAAAGAAAGUAUCUGGUUCAUGAGACAGUUUAGAUACAGUCUUUGCCAAAGUGCCUGAUUUUUAGUUUACAAUGUUGCUUGUCUCCGUUUUUGUUUUUGAGAUGUAGUUCUUGUCUCAUAGCUCUACUGAAAAAUACUUGGAGUAAAGGGACCAAAUAGCAAGUGAACAAAUGCACAAUUCUGCAUAUUAAAAAAAAAGAGGCUGGGUGCAGUGGCUCACACCUGUAAUUCCAGCAUUUUGGGAAACGGAGGCAGGAGGAUAGCUUGAAGCCAGGAGUUCAAGACCAGCCUGGGCAAGAUAGGGAGAUUCCUGUCUCUACAAAAAAAAUUUUUAAAAAUUAGCCAGGCAUGGUGGUACAUGUCUGUGGUUCCAGCUACUCAGAAGGCUGAGGUGGGAAGAUCCCUUGAGCCCACAAGUUCAAGGCUGCAGUGAGCUAUGAUUGCACCACUGCAUUGCAGCCUGG
rnacentral:lncRNA from 1 species